rnacentral:lncRNA from 1 species
AAAUAGAGAAGCCGGCUGCCUUCUUCUUCCAAGCGUGAGAACCUUUCUUCCUUCUCUGUGAAAACCCAAAUCGACCUUUGUGGUGUGCCUUUUCUUCUUCGUGAAUGAAAAAGUCUCCCAAUUGAAGUUACCUUUGUGGUGUUGGGUUGAAGAUUUCUGAGCCGAAUUAAAAAGGGGGAUUUCGUUUCAUUUUCUUCCAUUAAAUUUCAGUUCACUGCCUUUUUUUUUGGUUCCUUGACUUCCAUUAGAUUUAUUUUGAUUUAAUCCUUCAUUAACCAUUGUUGUGUGGUUGCAGGUUGGAUUAACAACAACAAAG